UUGCCAUUCCAGGCCGGGCAGGGCCAAGGGGCUUCAGGGACCCAUGCCCUCAUGGGGCUCAUUGAGCUCGUCUCCCAGCAGCCAAGGCCCUGGCAUCUCCAAAUGAAGCCAGCUGUGGGGGAAGGUCCUUCUCAUGAGCCAGUCUGUCCUGGCUGGGGGUGGCACCCCAGAGCCCCAUCUAGGAUGCCCAGGGAUGUAUAGUUCAUGCCGUGGAGGAAGUGGUGAAGGAGGUGGUGGGACAUGCCAAGGAGACUGGAGAGAAAGAUUGAACAGGAGGGUGUCACAGUGAAGAGCAGCUCCCACUUCAACCCAGACCCUGAUGCAGAGACCCUCUACAAAGCCAUGAAGGGGAUCGGGACCAACGAGCAGGCUAUCAUCGAUGUGCUCACCAAGAGAAGCAACACGCAGCGGCAGCAGAUCGCCAAGUCCUUCAAGGCUCAGUUCGGCAAGGACCUCACUGAGACCUUGAAGUCUGAGCUCAGUGGCAAGUUUGAGAGG
ensembl:lncRNA novel transcript